rnacentral:rRNA from 1 species
UACGUAGGGGGCAAGCGUUGUCCGGAUUUAUUGGGCGUAAAGAGCGUGUAGGCGGCCAGAUAGGUCCGUUGUGAAAACUCGAGGCUCAACCUCGAGACGUCGGCGGAAACCAUCUGGCUAGAGUCCGGAAGAGGAGAGUGGAAUUCCUGGUGUAGCGGUGAAAUGCGCAGAUAUCAGGAAGAACACCCGUGGCGAAGGCGGCUCUCUGGGACGGUACUGACGCUGAGACGCGAAAGCGUGGGGAGCGAACAGG